AAAGGGGGGUGAAGUGGACAUUUGGAUACUUGACUCCCCUUUGUGGCUGAAAAAUGUCCAUCCUGGAUUCAUUUUUCCCCUGGCGGGGAAAGUUGUAUGCUAGACUGUCCCGUUACACUGCAGCAGACACGGAGAUCUAGUUAAUUUAAGUGCCUCUUACUUCAGCUGAAACAUAUUUGCAAUUGGAAUACCAUUCCUGCUCACUGAGCAGAGUCCUGGAAGCCACAGGCUUUUGUGUGAGAGAUCCAAUUAAAAUGCAAAAAGAGAGAUGAGCCUCAUCCAAUUCCUCCUUGACUGGCCCAACAGCUCAUCAGGGUUCCUGCCUCUCCUGUUUGAUGGUGCUGCCCUGGGCCCUCUGCUUCUGGAUUUUACUGGGGUAGGAAUGAGGAAAACAGUCAGAUAUCUGUGUUGGAGUUGAGUGAAGGGCUGUGACUUCAAGUUCCUCCUGCUUCUCCAAGCCUGCCUGAAAAGUUCUCCCUUCCUGGAGAUGCUCAGCAGGACCAGAGCUGGUGGAGAAACCUGUCUUCAAAGAAGAUGUGGACAAACAUGGGGAUCUAAUAAUUUUUCUGCUUUGAUAGAAAAUUUUCCUUCUCAUGUACUGUUCAGUGUCAAAAUACUGCUUUUAUUGGGUACUUGCCUACCAGGACCUCUGAUUUAAAUGUCAGGCUAAACUGAGUUGGGGCAUAAUACUCUUCAGGCUGUGGAGUGAAAAGCCUAUUGAGCAGCCAAAGUGUCAGUGACCACAUUUGCCUUUCCCAAAUAACCUGAGUAUGUUCCCUCUUUCUGGGGUGAGAUCCACAAGCAAUGAGAUUGCUCCUGCUUGAGCAGCCACUCUGUGAAGCUUCCUGAACUCUGGUCAUUAUGAGAUCCUCAGUCUCACGCUGCCUGGCUCUGCAGGGUACAGCUGCCUAAUCUGCAUGCACAGGAUUGCCUUUCCUUGUCAUUUAGAUGGUGAAGCCUCUGGGAUGAAAUGCAGAAGCUCUGUAGUAGUGCUGAGAGGUUACUUGGCUGCAAAAAAAAAAAAAAAAAGAACAAAACCAGAAAGUCUGAGUGCAUUGAAAAGAUGGAGUGUUGUAAGAGAACAAAUGCCUGAUCAUGUGGCAUGAUGGAAGAACUGUGAUAGUUUGUCACCAUGUCUCUGGGGAUUGCUCUGGUUUUCCUUCUCAAGAAAAUGAGGAUUUCAAAUGCUUCAUUUGCAGUUUUGUGCAAUUUCUAUCAAAGACAAGAGCCUUCAUUCAGUGUUGUAUUGUCAUGCUGGAAGAAUGUUGGUGGCUUUGAGUCUGCCAUAGACUGAAAUGAUGUUUGGGGUCUUUUUCCCAAGAUGGAUCCCAGCCAAUUAUUUGACACAGUGAAGGUUCAGCAGAUGUGUAAAUGCUCCUGAGUGUUCACAAACAGUUUAAGAGACUCUGCUGCAGUGAGAGGGGGAUGGGAAUAAUAAAAUUUGCAUAUUUGAACUGUUUCUUAGUGUACUUGUUGCCAUCACAUCUCUGGAAUAAGAAAUCAGAGCUUGGAAGCACAAUUUAUUCAGGGCUAUGGGAAUAUCAGCUUAGGGUUGUAAGGCUGAAGGCAUCACUGCUUGGAGAGGUGUAAUGGAAAGUGCUCUGGGAAUGGAUUCAGCAGCUGAAGAGCCCUUGGAUGCAAUGAAGAUAAAGGUGUAGAGAGACAAAUCAGUGACCUUUCAGGGAAUUGCCUUUCCAAAUCAUCUGUGAAAUCAUCAAAAUGACAGUUCCCAUCUUCAAGUCAGCUGGUGCUUGAGCAUUAUGGAAAGCUUGAGAUGGAGAUUCCUUGUUUGGCUCAUUCAGGAGGGAGGAUGGCUCACUGCAGCCUGUGGUAUCUGUGGCAGUCAAGGACAGGUCUACAUGUGCCAUAUAAAAUGAAAUCCAAAGCCUGGGGUUUUAGGUAGGCACUGCAAUAGAGCAGAAUUCCAUUGUAGGCCCUGGUAUCCCCUCACUGCUUGUGUUGAGGGAUGGUUCUCUUUGUCAGCCAGCACGUGUUUGCUCAAAAAUGGGCUGUUCAACCUGUGAGCCCCAGAGCUGCAUCUGUCCUCUGUGGAGUGUGCUGGAGGGAGGGAAUGAUCUGAGCAGUGCAGGGGACAGGAAGAAAUGGGGCUUGCAGGUGUAAGUGUGCAGCCUCACAAGGAGCACACGUGGCUGGCACAUCUGCAGCCACAGGACCAUCCCUCACUUCCAUGUCUUGGGAACUGACUGCAUUCAUUGAGGUUUUGCUGCACUGGUUUGAUAAUACCACUGAAUUUCUAUGUUGGUGGUAAUUUUUUUUCCCCCUCUUUCUCCUCUGGCAAUUAAACAAACCGAUUUUCCUCAUCCUCUAUUUUUUUAAACAAUGAGUUGGAGUUCUGCUCUGUGGAGCUCUAUUUCUUUUUUCCAUGCUGUUCUCUGUGAUGAGUGUGGUGGGAGCAUUUGUCUCUCCCAGCUGCCUUCGUUGUGGCCAGCUGCAGAACAAUUGGUGAAACACCAUCUGGCUGUCCCUAAUUUUCACCAGCUGUAGGUGUAAUCAGCAGGAUGAUUGCAAAGCCCCUCUUCCUUCCAUACAAAAACCCUGGAAUGCAAAUGCAGCGAUGCAUGGAUGUGUAAUGGGAGAUGGAAAACAUGCCUUGGUUUUCAGAGGGGUACAAGACCUGCAUGAUGUUAUUUUUGUACCAGUGUAAAAGCAUCUGGGUCAGGCUGUACCUGGUGGAGGAGCUGCUGGUGUUCAGCUGCUGCAGCUUCUCUGGGGUUGGUUUUUCUCAGUGCAGGUGAGCUGGGGCACAGGCACAGGGAGGUUUGCUGUUUGUGCCUCCUCCUGCUCACACAGAGAGCUCCCUUUCUGCAAGCCGUUGCCUGUUCAGAUGUGUUUAGAUUUUUUUAAUCUCUUAAAUCAGUGAAAGUUUUCCGAAGUGUGAAGCCAGUCAGGACUUGACGUGUUACCCCACGUGGAAGGCAGCAAGACAAUGGUUAAUUUCUGUUUGUUUUGACUCAGUGAAGUGUCAGGAUUAAGCCCUGCCUGUGGUACUCUGCCCACCCACGUUAGGUGUGAUAUUGCAGCACCUGCAGCUCCCUGUGCCUCAGCUGCUCAAUCAUUCAGUGACCCAGACCUUCCAGAACAGCCAGAACUGGAAGGUUUCUCUCCCUGGCUUUUAUCCAGCAAUUCACCUGGGUUUUAGCUGGUGUGUCUGUGUUUUCCAGAACUAACCACUGGUGUAAUGACCUCCUGCUCCUGCUGGCCCAGAAAAUCAGGCAGGGCAUUCCCAGAGGUCUGAGGUCCUGCUGGAUGGGGACCGAGGGCUUCUCUUGGCCUGGUGGAACACUGUGUGACCAAGCUGUGCUGGAGUUCCUCAAAGCCAUGUCUGCUGUAAGCCUCUGGAGCAGAGGCUCCUGCAAUGUUGUGUUUGAAUUAUUUAAGUAGUGCAAAGUAAAAGAGCUAAUGAAGCACCCUAAUCGUAGAUUGUAGGGCUAAGGAUUAUGAUAAACCUGCACAGAGGUGUAGAGGAGUAACAGUAGGUAAGGAGGAUUAUUCAAAGCAGAUAGCAUUUAUCAUCUGUUAUUAUGCCACUGUAAUUAAUUUUUUUUUUAGUUAAAACAAUCAGUACUCAUAUUUUUUCACAUCUUCCAAAAAUCAUUGCAUUGGUUAAAAAAAAAAAAAAAAAGUUUUUCUCCUAUGGGACUGAAAUUAAUAUUGACCAGGAGGGAAUUGCAGAUACUUCAGUCUUCAAAAUCUGUGCCAGGAUGACUCCUUGGUUAAACCCAUCCUGCUCACAGGCUAGAGAUGGAAGCUUGUAUGGCAAGCAACAGUUAACAUAUUGAUUAAUGUUAUAUGAAAAAAAAACAGUGUUUUGAGGAUAAAAUAAAAAGCAAGAUAAGGGUAUGUGUCUGAGUUUGGUAAGAACAAUGUUAAUUUAAAAGAACACAUAAAGACAAAAAGGUGUUCCAUAGAAAGUGAUCAAUUCUACUCAUAUCAAGACUAUUAAUCUUGCUACUGGUUCAAAGCAAAAACAAUUGUCAGAAGAGCCAAACCAAACAACAAAAAAUAUCCUCCAUUGUGCCUAACAGAAAUAGCUCAAAAGCUCUUCAGUGGAAUUUAAAUUUCUGAUUAAUUAGACUGCAGUGUUAAUUAGUGCCAGUGGUCCUGAGACAAAUCUGGUAAUUAGUGAGUUGCAUAUCCAGUGGGGAAGCCCAGCAGAACACCUGCUUCUGAGUGGCAAAAUGGAAGCAAAUGGAAGAUUUGCAGAGUUGUUGCACCCCUGUUAAUUUUCCUCGUUCUGUGGCUUGUACUGCAGCCAUCUGUAUGCAAGUUUGAGUUUGUGAGCAAUAUCUCUGAAAUGAUAAAAAACCAUGAUCUUUUGUUAGGCUGGUAGUGCUGGGCAGGUAUUGCCUAGUUAAUGUGAAGAGGGUAACUAUGGAUCUGGAACAUAUUAUUCCCAGUUGUUUAGGCUACAGUAAUUAAGUCAAUCAGGCUUGGGUAACUGGAUUAACAGCACCUCAGGCUCUCAAGACAAAUGUGUGUAAACCUCACACCCCAAACUGAAUCUGAUCUACAAAGGUUUAAAUCAAAAAAUAAGCACGUGAAUUCUCUUAAAAUCAUGUUGGAUCACGUGAGGUUCCUCCUGGUUUUCACCACUGUGACUGAGUGGGUGUUGGCAGCUCCUGCUCACCUCUGAUGAGAACAGAACUAACCACAAACCUGUCAAAGGCAGGUCUCAUUCCUGAGACUGUUGUCUCUAAGAACUCCCUGUGUGGUUUUUCAUGUUCAUACCAAUACUGAUAAAUGAGGAGUUGUUUCUUAAUUAAACCCCUUUGUGUUUUGGCAAUUUUUUGUUCCCCUUCUGAGAAGGGGUUUAUCUUUGACUCUGUUAAGUUACAGAAACAGACAUUACAAAUCUUAGGCUUAGUAGAAUGGUGUGAAGCAAUAGCUGGUGUCUGCUGCAUUAGGGGAGGGUGUUUGAACACAGCUCUGAGCACUAAUUAGUUGCUCUAGGAGCAGAGAAAUACCAUCUUCAUUCCUACCAAAGGUUUUAUGUUAAGCACAGAAACUUUUGUACCCUGAUCAGAUGCACUGUCUGCUUGGAGUUAAUGGCCUUUUUUUUCUUGAACAACAGGCACAUCCAGGAUUAAGAUUUCAGUUGGCCUUAAUUAAGGGUGUCAUUGGUCGAAUAAAAAAUGCAGGGCUGGAAACGUCCAGGUGCCUUUUGGGGCAGGGCUCAUCCACGUUAAAUGCCACAGGUUCCUCUGGAUAAUGAUCUCCUGCAGUAUGAAGCAUUGUCAGCUGCAGGAAAGGCUGUAAGAAAGCUGAGGCUCAGAGCAAUUUGCUCCAUGUGAAUCUGACACUUGGUGUUGACACAGCUCAGCUCCGAUUAAGGUCAAGAGGCAGAAAGUUUGUGUCAGCGUGGAGUGGUGCUGAAAACCAGAGCUUCAGAAGUACCAGAGAAGAAGGAAAUGUUGCUAAGGAAAUGGGCUUAUUUAAUACUCUGUUUCUCUAUCAGCCUGUUCCCCAUCAACUUGGAUGUGGGCAUUCUUAAUUUGAUACAAAUAGAGAGGCAAAAUGCAUCCCCUGGCCAUGAGCCAAGCAGACUCAGCAGAAUCUUGAAAGAAAAAUAAAGCACCAAUCAAGUUAGCAAAUAAAAGUGGAGAUUUGUGUGUUUCCUCUGAGAACAGUUGAUGGUUUUUAAAAAGUCUUUUGAUCAGAAACCUUAAAAUUUCCUCUCAGCCAGGAAAAAUGUUCCAUGGCAAUAGUUUGAUCUCUGUAAUUUCCUCCCCCCACUGCCCCCCCCAGGAGAACUCAAUCUAGUUUUAUAAUAUUUUUUUACAAGCAAAUAAAAAUACCAUGUAAGACACGAGUUAAAAUACUGUGGCAAACAACCAGGGUAUAGGCCAGGAUGUCAUUCUCUUAGUGCCUUAAUCCUUUUGGGGAUGGGCAUUUAUCUAAGCAACAAUAGGAGAAAAUGUGGGCAGUGUGUUAGCUGGGGCUGAUAUCUCUUGCUGGACCCAUGGAUCUCAUUAUAGGAGAGGAAAAUGCAGUUUGAGGCAUUCAGGCCCAUCCUUUUUCCUGAAACACAAGCCAGUUCAGUAUUCAUGGGCCAUCAUGUGGAGGUGAGAGUGGACUCUGAAUCUGUGCUUUAUUUUAGCCUGGUAAACAGAUGUAGAAAUGCUGAAGGCAGUCCUGGACACCAACUUAGCUACAGUCUGGUCAGAUUGGUGCUGUCAG